GACGUAGGGCGCGAGCGUUGUCCGGAUUUAUUGGGCGUAAAGAGCUCGUAGGCGGCUUGUCGCGUCGUUCGUGAAAACCUGCAGCUCAACUGCAGGCUUGCGGUCGAUACGGGCAGGCUGGAGUUCGGUAGGGGAGACUGGAAGUUCCUGGUGUAGCGGUGAAAUGCGCAGAUAUCAGGAGGAACACCGGUGGCGAAGGCGGGUCUCUGGGCCGAUACUGACGCUGAGGAGCGAAAGCGUGGGGAGCGAACAGGAUU
rnacentral:rRNA from 1 species